AGAGUUUGAUCCUGGCUCAGGACGAACGCUGGCGGCGUGCUUAACACAUGCAAGUCGAACGGUGAAGUCCCUUCGGGGGCGGAUCAGUGGCGAACGGGUGAGUAACACGUGGGCAAUCUGCCCCUCACUGUGGGAUAACUCCGGGAAACCGGGGCUAAUACCGCAUAUGAAGCCUGGCGGCAUCGCCGGGUUUGGAAAGUUUUUCGGUGAGGGAUGAGCCCGCGGCCUAUCAGCUUGUUGGUGAGGUAAUGGCUCACCAAGGCGACGACGGGUAGCCGGCCUGAGAGGGCGACCGGCCACACUGGGACUGAGACACGGCCCAGACUCCCACGGGAGGCGGCAGUGGGGAAUAUUGGGCAAUGGGCGAAAGCCUGACCCAGCGACGCCGCGUGCGGGUUGAAGGCCUUCGGGUUGUAAACCGCUUUCAGCA
rnacentral:rRNA from 1 species